rnacentral:rRNA from 1 species
UACCUUAUGAAUAAGCAUCGGCUAACUCCGUGCCAGCAGCCGCGGUAAUACGGAGGAUGCGAGCGUUAUCCGGAUUUAUUGGGUUUAAAGGGUGCGUAGGCGGGCUUUUAAGUCAGCGGUGAAAUCUAGAGGCUCAACCUUUAAAUUGCCGUUGAAACUGAUUGCCUUGAGUGUAUAUGAAGUAGGCGGAAUUCGUUGUGUAGCGGUGAAAUGCAUAGAUAUAACGAGGAACUCCGAUUGCGUAGGCAGCUUACUAAGAUACGACUGACGCUCAUGCACGAAAGUGUGGGUAUCCAACAGGAUUAGAUACCCUGGUAGUCCACACAGUAAACGAUGAUUACUCGUUAUUUGCGAUAUACAGUAAGUGACCAAGCGAAAGCAUUAAGUAAUCCACCUGGGGAGUACGUUGGCAACAAUGAAACU